ensembl:lncRNA
CUUCAUAUUGCACAUUUCAAUCUAUUUACUUUUUAAACUAUUUUAUGUGUAGUUUUGUUUUGCCUUACCUUGGCACUAUUCAGAAUUAUUUUGCACUAUUCUUUGCACUAUUUAUUUAUUAGUUAUUUACUUUUCUCCUUCUCUCCUCAUGCACCGUGGGUUGAGACAAACGCUAUUCGAUCCCUCCGUUGGUCUGGCACAUCAUCUGGAGUUAACAAUAAAGCUGACUUUGACUUGGAUCCCCACCAUGUAAUAGUUUCACAAAAGCCUUAAAAUACAUUCCUAUAGACUGCAUAAUCUACCCACAUUAUAUGAAUCUGAGAAUAUAUACAAAAUAAUAUUGAAUGCAUAACCACAUAUAUCCUCCAUACAAUAUCUUAAAUUGUGUUUCAGUAUGACAUUCAGUCACUCUCAAGACGAACGCACAAAAGGGACUGAGCUCUGAUUGGCUGGUCGGUGCGCUGAGCGUGUGUGUGUGUGUGUGUGUGUGUGCGCGCAGUCGCUGCGUUGGUGGCAGAGUAGUGAAUGGGCAGAGAGAGGGGUGUGCUCUGAGAGGCAGACACACCAUCGGCAGGCAGAGCAGGAGCAGCACACACAACCUCCCCGCACAACCUCCACGCACAACCUCCACGCACAGCCUCCACGCACAACCUCCACGCACAACCUCCCCGAGAGAGAGAGAGAGAGAGAGAGGGAGGGAGAGCAAGGGAGACCAGGCGCACCUUUGCAA